AUUGAACGCUGGCGGCAGGCCUAACACAUGCAAGUCGAGCGAGCGGCGGACGGGUGAGUAAGGCAUGGGGAUCUACCUGAUGGAGGGGGAUAACUACGGGAAACUGUAGCUAAUACCGCAUACUAUAGGAUGAGCCCAAAUGGGAUUAGCUAGUAGGUUGGGUAAAGGCUCACCAAGCCGACGAUCUGUAGCUGGUCUGAGAGGAUGAUCAGUCACACUGGCACUGAGCCACGGCCCAGACUCCUACGGGAGGCAGCAGUGGGGAAUAUUGGACAAUGGGCGCAAGCCUGAUCCAGCCAUGCCGCGUGUAUGAAGAAGGCCUUAGGUUUGUAAAGUACUUUCAGCGGGGAGGCGUUACCCGCAGAAGAAGCACCGGCUAACUCCGUGCCAGCCGCCGCGGUAAUAC
rnacentral:rRNA from 1 species